GUAGGUGAACCUGCGGAAGGAUCAUUAUCACGUAUCCACGUAUAAACCAUUGUGAACCGUUUUCUACCUCCGCUGGUACAGCAAGUGCUUUUGAUGAAGAAAUAAAUGCAUUUAUUUGCAGCUGUCUCUUCUCAUCUGCACCUGCUGCUACUAUAGGAGUGUAUUCUACCAUAUUAACCAUUUUAACCAAUCUUUAUAACUUUAUGAACUAACUUUAUUUUAUACUCUUCGGAGAUAAAAUUCAUUACGAAACAAAGAACAACUCUUAGCAACGGAUAUCUUGGUUCUC
rnacentral:misc_RNA from 1 species